UAAUACGAACCGGACAAACGUUAUUCGGAAUCAUUGGGCUUAAAGGGUGCGUAGGCGGCGUAGUAAGUGAGGUGUGAAAGCCCUCGGCUCAACCGAGGAAUUGCGCUUCAUACUGCUAUGCUCGAGGGAGACAGGGGUAAGCGGAACUGAUGGUGGAGCGGUGAAAUGCGUUGAUAUCAUCAGGAACACCAGUGGCGAAAGCGGCUUACUGGGUCUCUUCUGACGCUGAGGCACGAAAGCUAGGGUAGCGAACGGGAUUAGAUACCCCGGUAGUCCUAGCUGUAAACGAUGAGCACUUGGUCGAGGGUCCCCCCAUAGACUCUCGACCGUAGCGAAAGUGUUAAGUGCUCCGCCUGGGGAGUAUGGUCGCAAGGCUG
rnacentral:rRNA from 1 species